AUUUGUGGCUAACAUUAAUUUACAAGAAAUUUCUAUGUAAUUUUCUUAUUUUUGGAAUAGUGUUGAUUUAAUUAAUAGUUUUCUUCGAAAAUAACCCCAAAAAGCAGCUUCGCCAUGGGACAGAAAUAACACUUUACUUGAAGCCUAUCAGUGCCAAAGCUCAAGGCCAAAGGAAGGUUGCUAGAGAGACAAAGACUAAUGUCGUUUACAUCAAUGGGAACCCAACAUUUUGUUUACGGCAGAAUAAUGCAGGAUGUUUACAAAGAUUACGAGUAUGAAGUUUAUGAUCACAACUUUGUUGAUGGCGUGUCUGCAACCUUAUAAUCAUGCCUAGUCGAGUGGGUACGUAGCAAACGUGAAGAGUCUUAGCAACCACAAUGGCUAGCAUGAAGUGCAAAAUAAUCUCCAGAUGUUUGGUGCGCUAGUUAAGGAAUGGAUUAAUUAGCUGCUGGUAUUUGGCGCCAAGAUUGUCACAUCACAAGACUUGUGUGCUAGGUAGUGUAAUCUCAAGCUCAUGUAUGAGUGGAACAGUUGAUCAAAGCUCUAUUGUAGUGUGGCAAAAGUCCAUUAUUUUA